rnacentral:lncRNA from 1 species
UUGCUUCCUGGGAAUUCUCGUCCAGUCCGUCCCUAUCCCGUACACCGUCUAUCCGCCUCCGUCCUCAUCCGCUCAAGUCCCGAUCCGCGCCGCUGGCCGCGGCCAUCCGAGCUGCCACCACCGGCACCAAGCAUCCGACUCCAGCUUGGCCACGGCAACCCCGGACGCGGCAGACGAAUCUUCCGGCUGGGCCUGGGAGGGCGACGGCGGCGCUCGAGAUCUAGCCCAGCGAGGGGCCGCGCCGCUCCCGUGCAGGUGCUUCGCCGCUCCCACGCAGGUGCUCCACCGCUUCGAGGUGAUUUGUUCUGUGCGAUAUAUACGCAGUACGCUGCCUGCUUGCUAGGAUGCGAUUUGUUCUGUGCGAUGUCUGUGCAAUGCAUAGAUGUGAUUUGUUCCUUUUGUUCUCGUAUGCGGCCAAAGCCAGUAGAUACAAAGAAUCUAUCACUCAGAAACAUGAUUAAGUUUUUUUGAUUGUUUGUUCAAGUAAAUAAAUUCCCAACUGACCAACUUCUCCUAAUUAAGUUCUGGAACACGUUUGUGGCAUAGAUACUUGUUGACGUCAGAUUUUGACACGUAUGGAAUCGGCGUCAAAAAAUAAAAGGAUUAGCCGAACACGUAUGGAAUCGGCGUCAAAAAAUAAAAGGAUUAGCCGAUGCGGCGAGUAAAAAGGGUGCGAUUGGGAAUCGGCCGGUUGGUGCUACAGUUGGAGAUCAGCCGAUUGGCGCUGCAGUGUUUUGGCGGACGGAGUUGGUAGAAAUCGGCCGAUUAAGAGGCUGGGGCAAUUGGGCCAAUACGGGCUUAAAGUGAAUUACAAAGAGAAGAUAAAGGAGGAUUGGCCCACAGGAGCACAACGACCAACUCCGAUGCGAGUUGUAAUUGUAAAUAUUUGUUUUCGUUUAAAAUUAGAGAUAGAAUCCUAGUCGGUUAAAAGAUUGGUUCUAACAGGCUAUAAAUAGCCAUCCUUAGAGAUCUGUAAAAACAACAUCAAAUCAAUACAACAAUCUACUAUUUCCUCGUACUUUACUUUCAAGUCGGCGACUUCGCCAAUACUUUUCUUCUUUCACGAGUUCGUACGGGUUGGCAGGACUGCAUCGACACGAUCUCCGGCUGAUUCUGUAAGUUCCGUUUAUCGAGUAAUAUCUAAGCUUUAACUUCGGGCGCAUCGCUGUCGUUUCGUUUAGAUUUAUUCACCAGUUAUCGAUAUUUACUAGAAUUCUAGGUUUUACCUAUUGUUCUAGUUUUAUCACCAGUUAUCCAGCUUGGAAUUAGAGCUUUCGGCUUAUUUACCUUUAUCGCUUAUCUAUCGCUUUCGCAUAGCCGAUUAGAUCUGUUUCAAGUGUUGUUUCUGUAGCGUUGUCUAGUUUUCUCUGGCAGUUUUCUUUACAAACGUUACCUAGUUGUCGGCUGUACCAUAGCCGAUUUCCUUGUUAUAGCAAAUCGGCCGAUUCGCUGAUAAGCUUCCUCGAGAUCGGAACCUUAGCCGAUCGCAGCCUCUGGGAUCUGACACGUUUCCUUCCUUGCCAAUCAAUAGGUCAGAUUGGCUGGCACGCCGCGCGAACCGCACCAGGACGAUUACCCGAAUAGGAGUUAAGCAGAUUCUCCCGGGUCGUGUGCCUGACGCUGAGAUUCAACCGGCUGAUUUUUAGCGCCAACACACUUUUGGCACGCCCAGUGGGACAAAUACGACCACUACGAUGUUGAAAACUGCCGAAAUCUCCGAAGACAACAUCAUCAAGGUGACGGAAGCAGACCUCAAGGACGACCAGAAGGAAGAGUUGGAGAGGCAGAUAGCACAGUACUGGAAGACAUGCCUACAAUCCUUCAGUCGUACCAGAAGCAGGGAAACUGUCAAGAAAGUUCCUUUUCCAACUCCCCGCCAGAUUACAAUCAUCGAAGACUCGGGCAAGAUGUCCGAGAUGGUUCAGCUGUCUGUCUAUCAAGCUUUCAUCGAUCAAUCUCUGGUGAUAACUAAUACGGUAUACAAUGCCGUCAUCAGCUCCCUGGCCAAUGGCGUGUCUCAAGGAUACCAAGGGCCGGCGUACGCCCCACCCAUCACAGCCCCGGUCAGGAGUUUUCCAAGCAUAUCCCACUCGGCUCCUCAGCCGAUCCAAGCUCAACAUGGAGGACCCAACGCUCAUUUGCCAUCAACGCAUCCGGGAUACAACGGCGCACCAUACCUCCAGUCACAGGCGCCACCUCAAUCCGUUAAGAUUUCCUCCGCGCAAUCGUCACCAUUAAAUCCAGUGCCUUGGGGGGCACCAUCGGCGGCGGCGGUCCAAGAUCAAUCGGCUGGCUAUGGAGGCUCUCCAACCCAGGCACUCUUCCAAUCGGCCGUUCGGCCGACAAUUCCACAGUAUCAACCGGCCACGUCGGAAAUUGGCAGGGGGGCAGAGACUGCUGAAGCGCUCCGGGGCGCUGCGCCGAUUAUACUAUAUGAUGAAACGACCGGUUUGCUAAGACACCAGAUGCCGACCACACAGCCGGCCACGUCACCGCAUAACCCGCCGCACGCUUUCGUUCAUCACCCAAUCAUCCCUCCGCCGAUCCACCAACAUGUGCCGGCUCCUCAGCCAGUAGUUCAUCAAUAGCAAGGAGACUGGACGGCACGGAUAGCAUAAGUAAUCCAAGAUCAAUUUGGUUUAAAGCUGAAGGUACAAACUUACACAUACAGAAUGUCGUACCCGCCAGCCUACGAUCUACUGCCAUUCCCCCAUCGGUACAAAGUUCUCGAUUUCACCAAGUUUUCGGGACUUGAUGAUACCUCAACUGUGGAGCACGUGAAUAGAUUCAUCAUCCAAUGUGGGGAGGCGGCUACACAGGAUGCCCUACAGGUGCGUCUCUUCUCAUCAUCUCUGUCCGGAUCGGCCUUCCAAUGGUUCACUACACUACCACCCAACUCCAUAGUUACUUGGGCCGACUUGGAGAGGCAGUUCCACAAGUACUUCUACGCGGGAGUGCAUGAGAUGAAAAUCUCAGAUCUGACCAGCCUCAGGCAAAGGAGUGACGAGCCAGUGUCCACAUAUGUGCAGAGGUUCAGGGAAGUCAGAAACAAGUGCUACACCCUAGUCCUGACCGAUGCACAGUUGGCCGAUAUAGCCUUCCAAGGUCUCCUGCCGCACAUCAAAGAGAAAUACGCUUCACAGGAGUUUGAAAGCCUGAGUCAAAUCGUACACCGACUGUCUGGUCAGGAGGUACGCCCCUUUGAUCAAUGGAGGAAUUUUCAGAAGAAGGUGGCAUACUUAGAAGGAUCUGAAUCCGAAGAGGAGGCAGAAAUCGGCCUGGCAGAGUGGGUUAAGGGGAAAAAGCCGAUAUCGUGUCCUUUCGGGAAAAAGGAACCAGAGGCAUUCGGUUUCGACAUGUCAAAGGCCGACAAAAUUUUCGACCUACUCCUCCAAGAAGGUCAGAUCAAGCUCUCACCCUACCAUACGAUCCCAUCGGCUGAACAACUGAAAAAGAUGAAGUAUUGCAAAUGGCAUAAUGCCACGUCCCAUGACACAAACGAGUGCAAAAUCUUCCGUCAGCAAAUACAAUCAGCGAUUGAGCCAGGCAGGCUCAAAUUUGAGGUCCCUACAAAGCCAGCAAAGCCGAUGAAGAUUGAUCAGCAUCCUUUCCCCACCAACAUGGUCGAUACAGGAAGGAACGCACUUCAAAUCAAGGUGCUGACGUCCGAUUCGGCUAAAAAGAGCGGCGCCGUGGACCCCAGGAAUCAAGCUGCACCCAAAGAUGUCAAAGGGAAAAGGCCGAUGGAUAAUGAACGCGAGGGAUCAGGAGGACCACGCAGACACAUCAGUUCCCAAUUUUUGCUAAACAAGUACCAGCGGCAACAGGAAAGUUCCAGGUUUCACAAAGAGAUGAUGCGACGACAUGAAGAUCAUUGGUGAUGCCCGUUCUUCAUCCAUUGCUGGGAAAAUAACCUCAGGUUGCCAUCGGCCGAUAACUACCCAGAAUGCAGCGGCCCAUAUCGCAACAAUCGGUCGUUCAGAAGGUCUCGCUCCAGAGAUCGAAGGCCGGAGCCAAUCUGCAGAAACUGGCGUGAGCAAGAAGAUCGGCGCCUUUCAGUGCGUGAUCGGCUGGGGGGCAGGAGUGACCGAUAUGAUCGGUCAAGAGACAGGCGUGAGAGAUACGAUAGGCUGGGAGGCAGGACCGAUCAGCACGAUUGAACAGAGGACGGAGUCAGCGCACACGAUCGGCUAGAAGAGAUGGUCGAUGCUCGGGUAUCAGACGAAAAUCCCUUAGGGCGGGAGCCGGAAUGGGAGCGUGCCAGACCAUCGGCAAAGCCAGUGAACCCUAGGUGGUGCUCGGAUGGGUUGACCAAAUCCCAAAAACGAAGAAUCCAACGUCUGCGCCAAUGGGAACAACAGGAAGAAGAGCAACAACAAAUGAUGGACAAGAAGAACGACAGGUCUCAGGUCUGGCGCCCCAAAAGACAUGACAAGGAAGGUGAUGACAACCAGGAAUCGACAGCUGAUGUCAACAUGGUUUUCAUCUUGCCGAUGGAGUUUAUAGCCCCCGCAGAUCGAUAUGACACGUCAGAGAUGGAAGAACAGAUGGCGCAAUUGGCUUUGGAGCCAAUGACGGCCACUUUUGAGAAGCCCGAAGAUGACAAAUGGCAGCACCUCAAGGCGCUGUUCCUCAAAGGACAUGUCAACGGCCGACCUGUCACUAGACUACUAGUGGAUGGAGGCGCUGCAGUCAACAUCAUGCCGUACGCCAUGUUCUGGAAGUUGGGUAAAAGCGACAAAGAUCUGACCAAGACAGACAUGGUGCUCAAAGACUUCGAAGGCAACGUGUCUCCCGCCCGCGGCGUACUCUGCGUCGACCUCACCAUCGGCAGUAAGACCCUCCCCACCACCUUCUUUAUUAUCAAUGGCAAAGGGUCCUACAAUAUGCUGCUCGAUCGCGACUGGAUACACGCAAAUUGCUGCGUCCCGUCUACAAUGUAUCAAUGCCUCGUACAAUGGGUCGGCGACAACAUCAAAAUAGUCACCGCCGAUUCCGCCUACAGCGUUGCGGCGGCCGAUGCAUAACAAUGGAGCUGCGAGCACGUCAAGUGCAUAUCCGAGAGGACCUGGGACACCGAUUUCCUGAAAGUGUCCGAUUUUGGCCUACAGCCCAUCCGAGCAGUCGGCUCUAAGGAUUCAGAUUAAAUGGAUCAAUUCGUCCGAGAAGAUGGGAAGCUGGAGCACGGGUUUAUGUCGGCCGAUUCAUUAGAGAUGAUAGAUUUAGGUGAUGGCACCAAGCCAAGGCCGACGUACAUUAGUGCUAAUUUGGAUCCAGGAUACAAAUGUAAAUUGACAAAUUUAUUGAAAGAGUUUAAAGACUGCUUUGCUUGGGAAUAUCAUGAGAUGCCUGGUCUGGACCGGUCCAUUGUUGAACACCGGUUGCCCAUAAAGCCGGAAUAUCGGCCGUAUCAGCAACCCGCACGGCGGUGUAAUCUCAAAAUUGUACCUGAUAUAAAGGCCGAGAUGUGGCGGAACUGCCCAACUUAAACUGGUUUAAAUGCGCCUAAUCGUUGUCGGAACAACGAUUAUCUGAAACGCACUUAAAACAGUAUAAGUCCGGUCAUCCGUCGAGUGUCCCUAGGACUCCUCGAAUGAUCCACGUCACGUCUCAUAGCCAUACACCAGGAUUGUUUCCAUGAUGGGAAAGCAUCAACAAAUAUUACAUUUUUACAUACAUACAUAAGGUACGAGUUAUUACAAGACGUAGUUUGAAAUAAACUUAACAGUGCAGGUCAGAGAGAAAUUCUAGGAAUUAAACAUAAACGGUUCAGGUGGGAGAUGAGCAGUUAAAGAUUUCUUCCAAGGGUAUUGCGAGACUCGUAACAAUGCCCUAAUUUUUUGGGGCUUCCUCCUCGGAGGGCUCCUGCGGUGCCUCUGAAAAUAGCCACAAGGGAUAACCCUGAGUACGGGGUACUCAGCAAGGCUUACCCGACUAACCAAUAUAAUAGUUUUUCCUGGAACUAUAUGAUAGCUUUUGGGUGUACUGGCUGACACACUUUUUGCCAAAGAGCUUACUAAAAUUUCAUCCUUAGCUUUAUCUUUUAAUACACUUAAGUUAUUACCUAAUCAUUCUAAAUGAUGAUAAAAAUAAAUAUUUACAAGCAUCAAGAUAUUAAGUCAUACACCAAUCAUUAGUGGAAAGAUAUUGCAUUCAUGAAAUUAUACUACGAUGCUCAACAAUGAUCAAGUGCAUUCAUAACCGAGAAUUGCGGUGAUCCGGAUCAAAUUACAUCCUGCAGGAGAGUACCCUGGUCACCAGUUAUGUACGACUGUCCAGGUCGUACGUAACGCCCUUUCGAUUUGCAAAACCAAGGAUUGGGAAUAAGACUACCCGGACCCAGGGACGCACCCCCACAUGGGACCCCACAUCUGGCCUGAUCUCCAUGUGAGUUUCAGGCUACGCCCCUGCCAAUCUCCAGCACGUCAAGCACGGGUACGGAGUAUUCCCGAUCAGAGGGUUUACUAACCUACCGGGCUUUACUGGUCCCAUACCUAGUAAGUAACCAGGUGUCAUUCACUUGAUCAAAGGUUAAGACAACGAUCGGGCCUUAACCAAAUUAAUCUAGCAGACAGAACUACAUCCUUAGCUUCUGUCCGCUUCUUAAUUUUCAAGCUAUCUUUUCAUAAUUUAGCAUGUAUGACCCAACAUUUCACCUUAAGGUUCGGUAAACAAAUUACUUAGGCAACUAAGCAUUUCUAGACUUGGGUUACUUACUAAAUGCUUGAACAAGUGGCAAAGAUGUCCUUAAAACAAGGUAUGAUAAUGCACAAGAAUGGGUUUCAAUCAACUCCUAGACCUAGUGCAUUCAAAUAGAAAAUAACCGAUAAUUGGACACAUGAAAUAAUACUAUCAAAAUAAAUAGGUAUAAUGCACCGGGGCUUGCCUUGUUCUAUAAAAAUGUUAGCACUGCCUGAUGGAUCGGCUUCGCAGGGAACCAACUCAAUGAUCUCUUCGAAUUCCGGAGAUCCUUCUGAAAAUUCCAAGAAAUCCCCUUCCGGUGCUUCGGUGUCUAUGAUAAAGCAUAUGCAGGGGUUAGUGAUGCAACUUUUUGAAUACAAGACUAUACAACUUUCCUUCAUGAUAAAGUUGCAAGCCAACAAGGGACUAUACGAUUUAUCAUGAUAAAGUUGCAAGCCAACACACAAAAACCCGAAAAGAUUAACCCGCCAUUUUUAUUUCCUUUACUAACCUUACCUAAGGCUCUUUCUUUUAUUUUUAGAAAACGUUGUAACUAUUUUCUAGUCUUGAAACCUAAUUUCCUAUGAGUUAACAAUAAUUUGUGAUUAUGAAAAUGUUAUUCCAUAUUUUAUGCAUUUAAUAAAGAUUAAGUAUUUAUUUAAAUACCUUAAAGAAAAGGCAUUAAACAAAUACCUAAAUUUUUAUUACUUUUCCUAGGGUAUAAAAAUUUUAAUGCAUAAAGGAAAAUAAAACAAUCCUAACAAAAUUGGUUUCACUAAUUUUGGACACCCCUAGAAAUUUCUGUGAUUUAAAUGGUGAUAACCGGAUUUAAUCUAUUAUUCUACAAAAGAAAAUCUAAAUUUUCCCGGAAAACUCCCCGGCCUACUUUUCUCACGCACCCCCUUCCUACCCCCCCUCUCUAACGCUGGGCCCGCAGCUCAGACCCACCCCUUCUCCUAUUCACUCUACCCGCCGACCUAUUCUCUCCUCUGCUGGGCUCACUGGGCCGUUUUCCCUUUUCCUUUUCAUUACUUAACCCGGCACUGGCCCAACGGCCCAACUGCUUCUUUUCCUUUUCCUUUUGCGAUACCGGCCUGCCUCACCGGCCUGUCGGUUGCUGGACCUCACGGGCCCCAGCCCACUUAAACACCAUCGCCCGGCCGCCCUCCUUCUUCUCCCUUCUUCCUUGUCGUGCGGGCCCGCUAUCACCAGAGCUUUCUUCUUUCUCGCGCCAAAACCCGAGCGCGGCAGGGGGCGGUGCGGCUCGCCGAUCGGCACCCCACCGGCGACGGGGCCAGGCUGGGGAAGCAUCCCCAUGCCCUAGCGCACCUAUGCGCGGCGGCAGCUCCUCGGGAGGUGGCCGGAGCCAUCCUCUCCAUGGCGGCGGGCGGCGAAGCUAACGGCCGGUUGGACUAAGCACGACGACGGUGCAACUUACCUCGUCGACUACCCCUACAGCUUCCUAGCAUCCCAAGGACUUACCUAUGAUUAACCACAAGGAAAAAGAACGACGGCAAGGUAAAGCUCACCGUGAGCAGGAGGUGCGGCGGUGGUGGACAGAAACGACGGCGGUGUAGGGCACACCGGCGGAGAGGCUGGGCAACAAGCUGCUAGGGUUGUUGGUAGGGUGUGAGUGGAGGUGUGGACGAAAGGAAUCGACGAGAGCUGCGGUGUGGUGGAGGAAUUUUGCUCGGCGGCAGCGGUGUGACAGAGAGGGGCGGCGGCGGUAAAAAGGACACACGGUAAGCAACGGCGGCGGGAGCGGUAGAUAUACGAAGUUUCACCGUGCGCAUGGACGACACCGUGGCCUAGUGCUAGGCUUGCGUGGUGAGGAGGUGGUGUAGCUGCUGUGCUGGCGGAGGGUCGACGACGCCGGCGGUGACACGUCGUGCCCUGCUCUGUCGUCCCCCCCCCUUCUUUGUUUUUCUGACGCCCGAAAUUCAGACCCCAAUCAUGGUCGAUUUUUAAUCCGAUGGUCCCAAGGUCCUUUAAGCAAUGUUGCAGAUAAUCUCGAGCUCUCCAAGUUUUAUUUUGGCUCUUGCCCGAGAUAAACAUCCCAACGUGGUCAAAUUUUGAAUUCUUUUCUCAGUUUAACUGAAUCCCUUUGAAUACCCUAUUCAGUUCGACAGUCACUUGAUGAGGGUCAUUGACCCAUCUUUGAAAAUACUUUCAGUGGCCUAAAUCCCUUCUUUUUAAUCCAACUACUAACCAAUUAUACUCUACAAUCAUCAGGGAUUCCAUUUUGCUCAUAAUCACCUAUACUUCUUGUACCACAUUCUCCUGAAUUCAGCUCCAAACAUAGGCACUUAUUACUGUUUUCAGACUUAGGAAAAAUGGCAGCUUCAGUGAUUCAGCCGAGAAUGGAAAAGUGCCAACUUUAGGCCCUAAAUUAAAUUUGUUUCCUUUGUAGUUCCUGAUCAACAACACCCUGGUAUACUUGUCCAAAGUCUAUACUUCAAUAUUGUAUAGUUGCCUUGGUCCACUUAUUUGGAAAAUUUGGCAGAAAUCAAUUUCCAAAAUGGACACUUGUGCUGUUUUUCUAAAAAUUCCAUUGUCGGACAGUGAACAGUACCUUCUCAAUUUGAUUUUUCAAUUACCUUUCUUGAGAUGUUUAGGACUAGGUUUAGUCUCACAUCUUGGUUUCCCAAAGUUUUAAACACUCUUAAGCUCCCAUUUCAUAUCUUUGCCAAAUUUUUCCGAAUUUAGAACUCAAAAUUCAAAUUUUGGUCAAAUUUGACUCGAAUUUGACUUUUAGUCACUUUCUUCUUCUUUUCUCCAUAAUUCUGCUUUUGAUUUUUCUUAACUACCUGUGAUGAUUUAAAACACCAGGUGUUACACAAGAUCACAAGGCUGAUUGAAGCAAAAUUUAUUCGGCAGUGCCGUUAUGCCGAGUGGAUCUUCAACAUUGUGCCUGUAUACAAGAAGAAUGGGAAGCUGCGCGUGUGCAUUGAUUUCAGGAACCUUAAUCAGGCUAUGUCGAUGGACGGAUGUCCGAUGCCGACAGCCAAUGUGUUAAUAGUUGCGGCCGCGGGUCAUAAAGUCAUUGUUUUAUGGACGGAAACGCCGGGUACAACCAAAUAUUAAUGGCCGAAGAAGACAUUUCGAAAACGGCUUUCAGAUGCCUAGGCCACCUCGGUUGGUUCGAGUGGGUAGUAAUGACUUUUGGGUUGAAGAACGUCGGCGCUACAUAUCAACGAGCCAUGAAUUACAUAUUCCACAAACUCAUCGGCGUACUGGUAGAGAUUUACAUCGACGACGUCGUGGUCAAGUCGAAGGGACACCAGGAACAUCUGGCUGAUUUGCGGCAAGUAUUGAAAUGCACGAGAAAGCAUGGGUUGAAAAUGAACCCGAACAAGUGCGCCUUCGGCGUAUCCGCUGGACAAUUUUUAGGAUUCAUGGUUCAUGAGCGUGGGAUAGAGGUCAACCGAAAAAUCAUAGCGACUAUCAAUAAAGUCGUGGCUCCACAGAAUAAAACUGAGCUGCAGCCCUUAAUCGGCAAAGUCAAUUUCAUCAGAAGAUUCAUAUCCAACCUGUCUGGACGCAUCCAAGCUUUCACACCGUUAUUAGAGUUGAAACCCAACCAAGAAUUCGUAUGGGGAGAAGAACAACGCAAGGCACUGGAAGACAUCAAACGAUACCUAGUCUCUCCACUCGUAUUGGUCCCACCACAGGUUGAUAAUCCAUUCAAGCUAUACUUGUCGGCCGACGAAUGAGCUAUCGGAUCGGUGCUGGUACAGGAGUUCGAAGGAAAGGAACGGGUGAUAUAUUAUGUUAGCAGAAGACUUCUGGACGUUGAAACGAGAUACUCCCCGGUAGAGCGAUUGUGCUUGUGUCUUCACUUCUCAUGCACCAAACUCAGACACUACCUGUUAUCGGCAGAGUGCGUAGUCGUAUGCAAGGAUGACAUAGUAAAGUACAUGCUGUCGUUGCCGAUUUUGAAAGGGCGGAUUGGAAAGUGGAUCUUGGCUUUAUCAGAGUUUGAUCUAAGAUACGAGUUGGCCAAAGCCGUCAAAGGUCAAGUCAUGGCCGAUUUCAUCGCCCAGCAUUGCGGACCAAAAGUCGCUGUCGUGGAACCAGUUCCGUGGACUCUAUAUUUUGAUGGUUCGUCAUGCGGCGCCGGGUCAGGAAUCGGCAUCGUUCUCAUAUUGCCUCGGGGGGCAAGUUAUGAUUUCUCUCUGCCGAUAGAAGCAUCCGCUACUAAUAACCAGGCGGAAUACCGGGCUGUCCUAAAAGGGAUACAAUUGUUAAGAGAGAUCAAGGCCGACACUAUGGAAAUUUUUGGGGAUUCCAUGCUCAUCGUGGACCAAUUGACAGGAAGAUCCGAGUGCAAAUAUGAUGUUUUGAGAAUUUAUUACGAGGACUGCCUCCAACUUUUGAAAGAAUUCAAGUCCGCGGUUAUUGAGCAUAUUCCCAGAAACUAUAAUGAGGAGGCCAACAGGCUUGCCCAGCACGCAUCCGGGUAUCGGCCGAUUCAAGGCGCCAUGACUCUAGAACUCACGGCCGACGAUUGGCGAAAAGAGAUUGCCGAUUAUUUAAAAGAUCCGUCCAAGAAAGUGGAUCGGCGAGUGCGUUUUUAAGCCACGAAGUAUGUAUUACUAGAAGACGAUUUGUUGUACCGAACGAUUGAUGGAGUUCUGCUCAAGUGCCUGGGAAUGGAGGAGGCAAAAAUCCUGAUGGGGGAAAUCCACGAAGGCGUAUGCGGAGCUCACCAAUCGGCUCAUAAAAUGAAGUGGAUGAUUAGGAAUAAUGGAUAUUAUUGGCCGACGAUCCUUGAAGACUGUUUCAAAAUAUUAUAAGGGAUGUCAAGACUGUCAGAAAUAUGGAAACAUGCAGCGUGCACCCACAUCGGCCAUGAAUCCAAUAAUCAAGCCAUGGCCAUUCAGAGGUUGGGGAAUAGACCUCAUCGGACAAAUUUACCCUCCAUCAAGUAAGGGGCAUAAAUUCAUUUUAGUAGCCACGGACUAUUUCACCAAAUGGGUGGAGGCGAUUCCAUUAAAGGCCGUAACAUCGGCCGCUAUGGUCGAUUUCGUAAGAGACCACAUUGCCUACCGCUUCGGCAUCCCUCAAACUAUCACAACCGAUUAGGGAACGAUGUUCACUUCGGGAGAGUUCGAGGAAUUCACUGCCGAUAUGGGGAUCCAGCUGCUGAACUCCUCCCCGUAUUAUGCUCAAGCUAAUGGCCAGGCCGAAUCUUCCAAUAAGGGGAUAAUUAAGUUGAUCAAAAGGAAGAUCGAAGAACAGCCCAAAAAGUGGCACUUAUGUUUGACCGAAGCUUUAUGGGCGUACAGGAUGGCUUGCCACGGGUCUACCAAGGUACCUUCUUAUCAACUGGUGUAUGGUCACGAGGCAGUAUUGCCAUGGGAGUUGAGAACGGGGUCAAGACGUACAUCGCUUCAGGAUUUGUUGGCUGCCGACGACUUUUUCUCGCUCAUGAAAAGGGAACUCGAUGAUUUGGCAGGUCAACGUUUGAGGGCCUUGAUCAGCAUUGAGGAGAAUAAAAAGAAGGUAGCCAGAUGGUAUGACAAGAAGGUCAAAGUCAAGCAGUUCUCCCAAGGGGAUCUGGUAUGGAAAUUGUGUUGGGAUACGAGGUAGGCUACACUAGCGCAAAUCAAAAUUUCUACCGCGUAUAACCAGGAAGAACUGCCGUAUAAGGAUCACGGGAUUACCACUCAACGCACUACUGGUGCGGAAGAUGUAGAUAUGCGUCGAUGCAGUGAAGACGAUCACGUAGUCGUACGUAGUCGAUCAACGUCACGUCCAGCAGCUCCUCCACGUGCAGCAAGAUCGCCUCCGGUGCCGCGGCUCGUCGUCGGCUUGUCAUGGCUCGUCGGCGGCUCGUCGAUGGCUCGUCCAAGUGCUGCAGGCGCAACACCUCCAAGGUAUCCACACGUGCAGGGAGGAAGCGUCGCAAGCCGGACUGCUAGAUUCGCGAGUUGCAACAGGCGAGGGCGUGGGAGGCGCGACAGGUGUGUUUCGCCAAAAGGUGUCGACCCUAGGGCGCCCCCACCCCUCUAUUUAUAGAGGUUCCUGAUGGGCCUCUGGAUCCGAGGCCCAUUAGUACUCCUAAACCUAAUCCAACUCGGAUCAGAUCCGAAUUGGGCUUCGAGCCCCUUAAGUGUGUGACCCUAUGGGUUCGGAUACGUAUAGACAUGGCCCGAGUACUCCUACUCGGCCCAAUAGUCGGUAGCGGCCUCUAGCAAGACGUGCCAACUCCUAUACGCACACGAAGAUCAUAUCAGACGAACCAUCACAACAUAAUAUACAUGCUAAUCCCUUUGCCUCACGAUAUUUGGUCUAGCUUCAAGCCGACCGCUCUUUCUCGAUCCUGUGAUUCGGAAUCCCUUUGUAGGUUAACUCUUAACCGUACGUAGCAUGGCCAUGCAUUUUCGGAUCCGAUCACUCGAGGGGCCCAGAGAUAUCACUCUCAAUCAGAGGGGGCAAAUCCCAUCUUGACUGACCAUGUCUCAUAGCAUGCUUCUUGACAAACCCGAAAGCUACCUUUAUAACUACCCUGUUACGGCGUAGCGUUUGAUAGCCCCUAAGUAGGUCGAUCCACAUCUAGAAUACAUGCGACAGUCUCAGGUCUAAGGACAAAGCGUAUAUGUUGUUUAAAGAGAGAACUACUUCUCGUGUUGGGUCAGUCCUAGCACAUGUCUCCACAUGUGUCCACAUUAUUAGUUCAACAUCUCCAUGUCCAUGACUUGUGAAACAUAGUCAUCAACUAAUACAUGUGCUAGUCUAAUAUUCAUGUGUGUCCUCACAUGAACUCCGACUAGGGACAACUUUAGAAUAACCAUACAAGUAAAGAGUUUCACAUACAAUUCACAUAAUUGCAAAUCAAUUCAAGUAGCCUUCAAUGGAUAUUCAAUGAACACAACAUACAAAUCAUGGAUACAAAUGGAAUAUCAUCAUCUCUAUGAUUGCCUCUAGGGCAUACCUCCAACAGUCUCCCACUUGCACUAGAGUCAAUCUAGAAGGUAUCUAAUACCCAUAGCUCUUACAUGCGCAUCAUGCUUAGCCUGCGGGAGUGGUUUUGUCAACGGAUCAGAAAUGUUCAGAUCCGUGUGUAUUUUGCAUAUCUUGAUCUCACCCCGGUUAACGAAGUCUCGAAUGAGAUGAAAUCGCCGCAUUACGUGUUUGUUCUUCUGGUAGUUCCUUGGCUCCUUUGCUUGCGCAAUUGCCCUAUUGUUAUCACAGUAGAGAUUCAAUGGGCUGGACGCAUUCGGGAACACACCAAGCUCAAUGAGGAAAUUCCUUAUCCAAACACCUUUCUUCGCGGCUUCCGAAGCCGCGAUGUACUCGGCUUCUGUCGUAGAAUCGGCCACCGUCUCCUGCUUGGAACUCUUCCAACUAACAGCACCACCAUUCAGCGUGAACACAAAUCCUGAUUGUGACUUUGAAUCAUCUCUGUCGGUUUGGAAACUAGCAUCGGUGUAACCUGUUACAACGAGCUCCUCCUCACCUCCAUAGACGAGGAACAUAUCUUUAGUCCUUCUCAAGUACUUAAGAAUGUUUUUCACCGCUGUCCAGUGACUCUCACCUGGAUCAGAUUGGUGUCUGCUUGUCAUACUUAGCGCAUAUGAAACAUCUGGGCGAGUACUUAUCAUUGCAUACAUGAUAGAUCCAAUAGCCGAGGCAUAUGGCACUCUACUCAUGCGAUCCCGCUCAUCAGCAGUCGAAGGACACUGAGUCUUGCUGAGAUGUAUGCCAUGUGACAUAGGCAAGAACCCUUUCUUUGCCUCUUCCAUGCUGAACCGCUUCAACACUUUGUCAAUGUAAGUAUCUUGGCUUAAACCUAUAAGCCUUCUCGAUCUAUCUCUAUAGAUCUUAAUGCCCAGAAUAUAUGCCGCUUCCCCUAAAUCCUUCAUCGAAAAACUAUUUUUCAGUGAAGUCUUUACGGACUCAAGCAUAGGAAUGUUAUUUCCAAUCAGUAAUAUGUCAUCCACAUAUAAGAUUAGAAAUACUACAGAGCUCCCACUAACCUUCUUGUAAACACAAGAUUCUUCUUCGUUCUUGGUGAAGUCAAACCCUUUGACCACUUCAUCAAAACGAAUGUUCCAACUCCUAGAUGCUUGCUUCAAUCCAUAAAUGGAUCUCUGAAGCUUGCAUACCUUUCCAGCAUUUUUCGGAUCGACAAAACCCUCGGGCUGUAUCAUAUACACGUCCUCAGCUAGGUUUCCAUUCAGGAAAGCUGUCUUGACAUCCAUCUGCCAUAUCUCAUAAUCGAAAUAUGCAGCUAUAGCUAGAAUAAUCCGAAUGGACUUAAGCAUCACUACGGGCGAGAAGGUCUCGUCGUAGUCAACUCCUUGAACUUGUCGAAAACCUUUUGCGACAAGUCGUGCUUUAUAGAUGUGAACAUUUCCAUCCAUGUCCUUUUUCUUCUUAUAGAUCCACUUGCACUCUAUGGCUUUAACACCAUUAGGUGGGUCAACCAAGUUCCAAACUUGAUUGUCUCCCAUGGACUCUAUUUCGGAUUGCAUGGCACUCUGCCAUUUUUCGGAGUCUGGGUCCAUCAUUGCUUCUGCAUAUGUCGCAGGCUCAUCAUUGUCCAACAAUAAUAUUUCUCGCAUUUCGCGGAGCCUUGCUGACCUUCGUGGUUGUGGCGGUGCUUCUCUUGCCAUGGGUAUCUCAACUUGUUCUGCUACGUUAGCAUCACUCAUUGAUUCUUGCCCGAUUGGCUCAUCUUGAACUUCUUCAAGAUGCACUGUCUUUCCACUCUUUUCUCCUUUGAGAAACUCUUUCUCUAGGAAAACCCCGUUCCGAGCGACAAACACUUUGCCUUCUGAUCGGUUGUAGAAAUAAUAUCCCAAAGUUUCCUUUGGAUAUCCCACGAAAAUGCACUUAUCCGACUUGGGUGUGAUCUUGUCCGACUGAAGUCGCUUGACAAACACUUCACAUCCCCAAAUCUUUAGAAAAGACAAACUAGGAACCUUUCCAGUCCAUAUCUCAUAUGGUGUCUUAACUACGGAUUUAGAUGGUACCCUAUUAAGUGUGAAAGCUGCUGUUUCUAGAGCGUAUCCCCAAAAUGACAACGGUAGGUCCGACUGGCUCAUCAUUGAUCGAACCAUGUCUAACAAAGUUCGAUUACGUCGCUCGUACACACCGUUUCUCUGAGGUGUUCCAGGCGGCGUAAGUUGUGGAACAAUUCCGCAACUCUUUAGAUGAUUGCUAAACUCGUGGCUCAAAUACUCGCCUCCACGAUCAGAUCGUAAGGCCUUAAUUUUCUUGCCACGCUGAUUUUCAACUUCAUUCUGAAAUUCCUUGAAACUUUUCAAAGGUUUCAGACUUGUGCCUCAUCAAGUAGACAUAGCCAUAUCUACUAAAAUCAUCAGUGAAAGUUAUGAAGUAUUGGAAUCCUCCUCUAGCCGUCGUGCUCAUUGGUCCGCAUACAUCACUAUGUACAAGUUCCAACAAGUCUACUGCUCUCUCAGGAAAUCCUGUGAAAGGCGUCUUGGUCAUCUUGCCUAGCAAGCAAGCCUCACAUGUCUCGUAUGAUUCAAAAUCAAACGAAGUUAGAAGUCCAUCAGAAUGGAGCUUCUUCAUGCGCUUUUCACUUAUAUGACCCAAACGACAAUGCCACAAGUAGGUAGGACUCAAAUCAUUAGGCCGAGGCCUUUUAGCACUUACAUUACAGAUAGGUGAACCAUCAAGAUUUAAAACAAAUAAUCCAUUCACAAUGGGUGCAAAAGCCAUAAACAUAUUAUUCUUAGAGAUUACACAACCAUUGUUUUCACUCGCAAAUGAAUAACCAUCCUUCAUCAAACAUGAAGGAGACAAAAUGUUUCGACUUAAACUAGGAACAAAAUAAUAAUUAUUCAACUCCAUAAUAAAUCCUGACGGGAGGUGGAGUUGCAUCGUCCCGACGGUCAACGCAGCAACUCUUGCAUUAUUGCCCACGCGGAAAUCAACUUCUCCUCUUUCCACGCUUCUACUUCUUAUCAUUCCCUGCAUCGAAUUGCAAAUAUGAGCAACCGAUCCGGUAUCAAAUACCCAAGAAUUAAUAAUUGUAUCAGCGAGAAAUAUGUUGUCUAUAACAUUAACAACAAGCGUACCUGAGGUAGAAUUACUCUUACUUCCGCCAUUCUUCAACGAAGCUAGGUACUGCUUGCAGUUUCUCUUCCAGUGACCAAGUUCAUGACAGUAAAAGCACUCUUUAUCUGGAGCAGGUCCAGCUUUAGCCUUGGGCGCUGGGUUUGGCUUGGACACUCCAGCCUUACCCUUCUUCUUCCAAGAAUUGCCCUUCUUCUUGAAGGUAGGCUUGUUCUGUACAGCCAUCACAUGGCUGGUACUAGCACUUUUCUUAAUGUCUACCUCUGCUGUCUUGAGCAUACCACACAGUUCAUUCAGACCCUUCUCCGUCCCAUGCAUAUGGUAGUUCGAGAUGAAGUUCCCAUAGCUAGGCGGAAGAGAUGAAAGAAUGAAGUCAGUGGCCAACUCUUUGCCCAUUGGGAAGCCCAGCUUCUCCAAUCGCUGAGUGUAACCAACCAUCUUGAUUACAUGUGGUCCUACUGCUGCGCCUUCUGCUAACUUGCACUCCAGAAAGGCUUUGGACACAUUGAACCUUUCGGUCCUAGCCUGUGUCUGGAACAUGUCCUUGAGCGCCACGAUCAUAUCGUGUGCCUCAUGAUUUGUUUCGAACUGCAUCUGCAGCUCGGGUUCCAUGCAAGCAAGCAUAAGGCAGCUUACCUCAAGAUUAGCAUCAAAUGCCUUCUUGUAAGCAGCCUUAACGGCAGCAGAUGCAUCAUCAGCAGGUACUGGUGGUAGUGGGGUGUCUAGAACAUCUUCCUUUUUCUCAGCCCUGAGAACAAUUCUCAGGUUACGGAUCCAAUCCGAGUAGUUUGUUCCAUUCAAUUUGUCCUUCUCAAGGACCGAACGCAAAGCAAACGAUGCGGUGGUGUUGCUAGGUGCCAUUUAAUCUACAACAAAAGUAAUGCAAAAUACACUAAGACAAACGUAUCCAUGAUAGAGCAAAUUACAUUAAACUAUUUUAACAGAAUCUACUCCCACUAAAAUCAAUAUCCCUCUAUUGAAACUUAGUGAUUCAGGAUCCACAACUAACAAGUCUACUAGUGAGCUUUAGCAUCACCGCUAGCAAACGAGGUAGAUCGGUAAGCAACUUUUGCUAAUCAUAUCACAUAUGACUCCUAUUGUUGGGUGACAUCUCUAUGUCUCGGCGCCCAACCUUUAUACCCCAAGGUCCUUAACCGUUAAGAUAACCUUGUUAAGCAAACCAACCCUUAUGCGUGUAAGUGUCCGACACACACCCGUCUAGUCAAGGAAAACUAGUGGCACCCUAAUUUCAUAGACCCACCACUAAUUGUACAAGACAUGGGACGGUGCAAGUUUUAGUUGGGAGGGCAUACUAACAUAAAAUUUGCGAGGGAUCGUUCUACUUCUAACAUCACAGCAUGCAAAAAGUAAAACAUAAACAGAAUAGCAUUCACACAGCUUGUGACACAGUAUGGCCCGUUUUCAUAUGGUGAUCUCCAUCUCCAUAGAACCUGUUCACCAUGGUGAUCUCCAUCUCCAUGUUCCAUGUGCGCCAUCCUCCUGGUGAUGAGUCCUCCAAGAACUAGAGCAUGCUAUUACGCCUAAUAGCUAGUAAAGAAUCUAGUAAUGAAGAUUACAUAGUUGCUUGGAUCAUCACAGAUUGGUACGCAGACCAUUAAAUACAAUAAAGUGACAACACAUAUGGCUCCUGCCGUGUUGCCGUACGCGUGACACGAAUGAGUUACACACAUGCAUCACAUACACAAGGGGGCCAUACUGAUCACAAGAUACAUACAUACAUCCUGCAAAACAGAGUUAGGCGUCCUAACGUUCCAAACUUCGGAGGCCCGAAACUCCAUCUUCCAAGCCAAAUUUGGGAAAUCAAAUCUCGCCGAAAAUGGCGAAGCUGUUGAAAUUCAUGUGUAACUUUUUCUGUAGAUCAAUUUUCGUAUAAAAAUCGCCCCGAUCCGAGAUCGUACCGAAAAGUUACGGCUGAUUUACCGAAGCAUACGCAUACGGCAAAAUCCCGACCCCGGCAGUAGAUCCCAUCUACUAUUGCACAUCUAAUGCGCCUGGCGUGUGACCCUGGAUCUCGAUUCAAUCAAUCAUAUUGAUCUUCGCUCACUGCAACUGGAUUUACGUGUAUCACUUAACUCCGAUGGCGGAAACCGACCGGUAGGAGUAUGUCGUUACACUACCAUUGCAGCAAGGGCACGAGACCAGGACAUAGAUCAAACAGAAAACUCGCAUAUCUCCAUAUGCACACAUCCCGAAUCCAAAACUAAGCAGCUACGGCUCUUGAUACCACUGUUGGGAUACGAGGUAGGCUACACUAGCGCAAAUCAAAAUUUCUACCGCGUAUAACCAGGAAGAACUGCCGUAUAAGAAUCACGGGAUUACCACUCGACGCACUACUGGUGCGGAAGAUGUAGAUAUGCGUCGAUGCAGUGAAGACGAUCACGUAGUCGUACGUAGUCGAUCAACGUCACGUCCAGCAGCUCCUCCACGUGCAGCAAGAUCGCCUCCGGUGCCGCGGCUCGUCGUCGGCUUGUCGUGGCUCGUCGGCGGCUCGUCGAUGGCUCGUCCAAGUGCUGCAGGCGCAACACCUCCAAGGUAUCCAUACGUGCAGGGAGGAAGCAUCGCAAGCCGGACUGCUAGAUCCGCGAGUUGCAACAGGCGAGGGCGUGGGAGGCGCGGCAGGUGUGUUUCGCCAAAAGGUGUCGACCCUAGGGCGCCCCCACCCCUCUAUUUAUAGAGGUUCCUGAUGGGCCUCUGGAUCCGAGGCCCAUUAGUACUCCUAAACCUAAUCCAACUCGGAUCAGAUCCGAAUUGGGCUUCGAGCCCCUUAAGUGUGUGACCCUAUGGGUUCGGAUACGUAUAGACAUGGCCCGAGUACUCCUACUCGGCCCAAUAGUCGGUAGCGGCCUCUAGCAAGACGUGCCAACUCCUAUACGCACACGAAGAUCAUAUCAGACGAACCAUCACAACAUAAUAUACAUGCUAUUCCCUUUGCCUCACGAUAUUUGGUCUAGCUUCAAGCCGACCGCUCUUUCUCGAUCCUGUGAUUCGGAAUCCCUUUGUAGGUUAACUCUUAACCGUACGUAGCAUGGCCAUGCAUUUUCGGAUCCGAUCACUCGAGGGGCCCAGAGAUAUCACUCUCAAUCAGAGGGGGCAAAUCCCAUCUUGACUGACCAUGUCUCAUAGCAUGCUUCUUGACAAACCCGAAAGCUACCUUUAUAACUACCCUGUUACGGCGUAGCGUUUGAUAGCCCCUAAGUAGGUCGAUCCACAUCUAGAAUACAUGCGACAGUCUCAGGUCUAAGGACAAAGCGUAUAUGUUGUUUAAAGAGAGAACUACUUCUCGUGUUGGGUCAGUCCUAGCACAUGUCUCCACAUGUGUCCACAUUAUUAGUUCAACAUCUCCAUGUCCAUGACUUGUGAAACAUAGUCAUCAACUAAUACAUGUGCUAGUCUAAUAUUCAUGUGUGUCCUCACAUGAACUCCGACUAGGGACAACUUUAGAAUAACCAUACAAGUAAAGAGUUUCACAUACAAUUCACAUAAUUGCAAAUCAAUUCAAGUAGCCUUCAAUGGAUAUUCAAUGAACACAACAUACAAAUCAUGGAUACAAAUGGAAUAUCAUCAUCUCUAUGAUUGCCUCUAGGGCAUACCUCCAACAAGUUGGUGCUGCCGAUUGGGUCUAAAGAUCCUAAGUUCGGUAAAUGGUCUCCUACUUGGGAAGGGCCAUAUAGAAUCGGCCGAUGCGCUCCGGGAAACGCAUACAUUCUAGAAACAAUCGAAGGAGAAGAAUUUACUAGGGUCUUGAACGGGAGGUACCUGAAAAGAUAUUACCCCAGUAUAUGGGUCGGUGCAUAAAAAUUGUUAGGGGCAAGGCAGGAUAGAACGGUUACUUCCUGGAUAAUCAUAUAGCCGAUGCAGAAAAAGAAAUCGCCUAGAGGAGAAAAGUAAUCGUUCAGGUUGGCUAAUUUGUCAUUCGGUACGGACGAUAAGGUACACGGCCGACACGGUACGAGUUGCCCUUAGAACAAAAAAUACUCAACCACACUUCUUCUUAAGUUCCCUCUCAAUCCGACCUAAUUCUAUCAGGAGGCGGGUGCUUCUGUCUUCCACAUCUUUCAUCGUGGCCUCCGCCUCAACCUGACGAGGAAGAGGAUGGCUCCGAUCCAGUACCUGGCGAGAUGUUCCUGCUGCUGCGUCUUCAAGAGCGACCGGGUGAGGGAGUGGGUGGCUCCUGUUGACUGGCGGCCGCCUGUAAUAGUUGCCAUCGAUGUGAUCCCAGAUCCGUUGAACGUCGGCAGGGAUGUGAUCUCUGAGUUCUUCACGGUGUGCCCUGAUCAAGUCCUUGUCUUCCUGCGACAAUGGUUCGUCAGGGUGCAUGAGUUCGAUCGCCCGUUCGAGUUCGGGGUUAAGGCGUCUCGGCUGAAAAAAUUAACACAUAACUGCCUAAAGUCAGAUUGGUUAAAAGAUCAAACUAGAGGUGGAAAAACAAAGGCAGAUCUCGUACCUGGUUGACGGAAGAAGAAGAAAAGGAAGAGGAUGAAGAAGACAUCUCUGCAAGUAUUCCGAUGGAGAAAGCAAUUGGAGGGAGAAAAGAUUGAGCGGGGCGAGUACCCUUGAAAGCAAUACCAAGGCUGGUACUUAUAGGAAGAGAAAGGGCGAGGGUUUGGUAAGACGCGUCCCGUCAGAAUAAAAAAGGUAAUAAAUAAAGGGGUGCCAUGAAGGACGGGUCAAGAUUGAGUUCGGGCAUCAAACAAUCAAAGGGUUUUAAUGUUCUUACAAAACAGCUAGUACUUUUACAGUUCAUCCCAGAAGGGCAUUAAUGGCUGCAAUCGCUCGUCGCCUAAUUUGAUCGGCCGAGUCUAAAACCCGCUGGUCGUCCUCCGCCGAUCCCGGAACCUUUGGCAUAUGGCGGUGAAGUCUGAGGGCUUCGUGGGCUAAGUGCUGCCUCUCCUGCUUCAGAUCGGCGAUGACGGAGGGGAGAUCUUGAAGUUUCUGCUCUUCGAUGGCUAUCUCCUUGACUACCUGUUCCAUUUCCUUGGCGAGUUUUGCCCUUCGGCGCUUGAGCCGAGCUAUGGUACCGACGAUUCCGGAGCGGGAGUUCUCGAGGAAGUGGAUCCGAUGGUGUACCUCUUGGGCCCGGUGCUUGUACGAAUCUUCCUCCUCACGAGUCUUGGCCAGCUUGGCACGAUCGACCAUAUGGCGCAGAGCCCUGAACAUUGGGAUCCGCAUCGAUUCAAUGUAUGCGGCGGGUGCCAAGGCUUCUUCCGCCUCUUCUGGGACUCGGCCGCUGACAUCACCAAAGAGCUGUCGAAUCGGCGAGGCAUCCUCCACCAAUCGGCCGAUGUCUUCCUGAAGAAGGGUUCGUAUGCUCUCGAGCUUGGCGCAGACAUCGUCUGGGAUGGAGCUUAAGGUAACUUGAUGAGCGGCGACUUUUUCUUCAUCAGAGAGUGCAACCGCAAAUGAGAAGAGGCUAUUAUUAGGAGUGUCCUGUUCCUGCAAAAGAAUAAAUGUAAGGAAAAAUAAGUUAGCCGACGGUGAUAGCAAAUCGGCCAGUUCGGGUAAUAGAACUUCUUACUUCUUUAAAGCAGAUUUCCCCUAUUUGUGCCUGCGGGAGUGUUACCCUCGGUUCAGGAGCUGGUGCGAUUGGCUCAUCGAAAGAGGAGGAUUUGACGAUUAUCGGCGUUCUGCUCGGGCCGGCCUCUUGAGGAACUUUUCUUGCCGACGGCUGUUCGGAAGGUACAGCUAGCGUGCCGAUAACCUACGUCAAAAGUGGUCAGGUCAUUGCUUAAACAUUAAAGGAUUAAGUUUAAGAGAUCCUGUACCUCAGUGGGAGGAAGCACUGGUGCUCCAGUUUCUGCCUGGGGCGUUGCUGAUUGCUGUGGAGCCUCUGGGGCAAUUUGCGAGGCUUGAUAUAGGGGAGGAGUCAGCGUUGGAAGAAUAAUCGGGAGGAACUAAAAACGAGUUUACCUGAAUGGCUUCUAGCAACAUUGAUGCGGCGGCCGCUCCAGCUUCUGUAGCAGCUUGGGGGUCAACUUCCUCGGUGACCGGGAGAGUCGGCGCAACCAAAGACUCCGCCGAUGCAGCCGCAGAUGGAUCAGCCGAUUCCGUGCGGGCGCGCACUCGGCGGCUUAUUUUCUUUAUGAUUUUCCUUGGUGCCUGCUUCAAUUGGCCAGUGAUGUCGUCAACGGAGGGGGCAUGAUAGCCGAUAAGGGGGAACUCCGUGUACGGAUAACGAUCCUCUAUCGGCCGAUCGCUCCGGCUGCGUUUCGGGGGGGCUCGACUCUCAGACUGAAAGAAAAAAUAAGAGUCAAUGGUAUAAAAAAAAGAGAUCAAAAUUGGCUGAGGAAGGAGUGAUACCUCUGUGUUCGGAUCAAUGUUGUCAGGGUCCAGGAUGUUGCAGUAUAUCGCCGGGGAGGCGCAGAAGAGAUAUUGUUUCCAUUCUGCCCACCACAGCUUGAAUUGUUGGACAGCAAAAGGGGCCACUAUCCAAUUGGUCAAGUCUAUGGUGCUGGAAUCUGGGACUCGGUCGUACAGCCGACUGUAAUCGAGACAUUUGGUGAGCUCAUCUCGGAACUUUGCCCGGCCGGUGAAGUAUGCAUAAAUCGGCAGUUGACCCAAGCCGAAUUGUCAUGCUAUGACAGAUGGAUUAUUAAAUUCAUAAGUAGGGGCAUCCUUCCCCGAGAAGAAAUUCGCCAGCAGGAUCCCUGGCUUGAUCAGCUCAUCUGUGAGGUCGUCAUCAAAUGUGUUGGUCGUUGAGUCGAAGCAAGAGGGGAGCUCGAAGAGUGGUUCCGAUCUCUGAUACGGGAACCAGCUAGUUGUUUCUUUGCUGAAGCCAUUGUAGAAGCAUCUAAAGUAUUCGGCUACCUUGGUGGUAGAGUACUGGCAAUAGGAGAAGGCCGAUGCUGCUUCGCUAAAGGAAGUACACCGACGCCGUACGGUGGGAUUUUCCGCCGAUUCGAUGUUGAGAAAAGUCAUGUGCUCAACUCGUUGCUGUGAGAUCUUGCUAAUGUAUAGAUUGAGCCAUAGGUUGAUGAACCACCAGGGUCCACCUGGAUUUCCAAUCGGCUCUCCCUUGGAUAACUUGACGCCGAUCUGAUGCAGCAUAUGAUAGGCCGAUCCUAGUAGAUGCUUUCCGAGAGGAACAGAUGCUCCUAUCGAUAAUGCCUCGGCCAGAGCCUGUGUAUUGGAAGAUGGACCAGCUGCUCUCCCACAGAAGAGGUGUUUCUCUAGCCACAUCAUCAAGAAGGCCGCGUGCUCUCUCUCUGCGACUGUCCCGGUUCUCUUGUUGCUUUUAAUGAACCCUUUUCACCCGCCGAUUCCUUUUGUUUCUAGCCGAUGGGUCGGCUUGACCAAGUAGCGGAAAGGGGUGUCAGGAGAAGAGAUGUCGAGGCUGGUCAACAUUACCACAUCAGCCAAAGUGGGAGUCAUGGGCCCAUGUCCGAAGAGAAACGUGUUUAGAGCGUCGGACCAAAAAUAGGAGGCUGCUAUCACUGGGACAAGGACAAGUUGAUACACUAUCCGAUUUUUCGCUCGUCCCAUUGAACCCUUUUAGAGGUGGCUAUCCUUUGAUACCACUCUUUCCAACCAGGGGUUUCAUUCGGGCAUGAUCUGAAAGUUCCUGACCAGUGAUCUAGGUCCAUGGUCGACUGCUUAAAUGGAAUUCUAUGGGUUUCCAAGUUGAUUAGAUCAGUUGGAUCUGGGUUUCCCAUAGGGCCAAGACAGAUAAGACCGGGGGUUUCGGUAAGGCGAAUGGUAAUCUGGUGCCUAACCGCCUAAGAAAGGUAAAAAGGAAAGAAAUGAGAACAGAUCUAAAAUAGGUGCCUUGGCGGUGAAAAGUAAAAAGAAAGUUUCAGUAAGAACCUCCGGGAUGAAGCUCAUCGUGGUUGGAGGAAUUGCUGGUGGAGCUACGGACGCUGAAGCCGUCGGUGAAGCCUCUGUCGCCGAUGAAGCUCCCGCUCCCGCCGAUGGAGCUGCUACCACCGCCGCUGGAGCCGCCGCCGUUGAAGCCGUCGCUGGGGUUUCUGGUGCUGGUGAAGUUCCUGAUGGUGCCGCCGUUGGGGAGAUGGUGUGGAAUGUGGAUGAAAAGGGGUCGCCGGAGGAAGAAGGAAACCAAUGCGCCAAAGAAGGAAGACGUGGGCUUGCGAAAAAGAAGUGCGGGACGUGCUGAUAUUUAAGGACGGUCUGAGAAGGGGUAAAGGCGGGAUUUUUACCGCGCCGUUGACGCGAUUUUCGGGGAAGUGGUUGUCUCAGGCGCUCGUUUCGAAAAGAUUGCAAUCAUCAGGCAGGAGACCGCGAAACGGAAAGAUAUUUUUAAUGCGUUUAUUUCGGAAGGGAAGUUGAAAGGAAUUUCGAAGUAAAGAUUAUGUUUUAUUCCGAAACUGGGGGGCAUGUGUUGACGCCAGAUUUUGACACGUAUGGAAUCGGCGUCAAAAAAGAAAAGGAUUAGCCGAUGCGGCGAGUAAAAAGGGCGCGAUUGGGAAUCGGCCGAUUGGUGCUACAGUUGGAGAUCGGCCGAUUGGCGCUGCAGUGUUUUGGCGGAUGGAGUUGGUAGAAAUUGGCCAAUUUAGAGGCUGGGGCAAUUGGGCCAAUAUGGGCUUAAAGUGAAUUACAAAGAGAAGAUAAAGGAGGAUUGGCCCACAGGAGCGCAAUGACCAACUCCGAUGCGAGUUGUACUUGUAAAUAUUCGUUUUCGUUUAAAAUUAGAGAUAGAAUCCUAGUCGGUUAAAAGAUUGGUUCUAACAGGCUAUAAAUAGCCAUCCUUAGAGAUCUGUAAAAACAAUAUCAAAUCAAUACAACAAUCUACUAUUUCCUCGUACUUUACUUUCAAGUCGGCGACUUCGCCAAUACUUUUCUUCUUUCACGAGUUCGUACGGGUUGGCAGGGCUGCAUCGACACGAUCUCCGGCCGAUUCUGUAAGUUCCGUUUAUCGAGUAAUAUCUAAGCUUUAACUUCAGGCGCAUCGCUGUCGUUUCGUUUAGAUUUAUUCACUAGUUAUCGAUAUUUACUAGAAUUCUAGGUUUUACCUAUUGUUCUAGUUUUAUCACCAGUUAUCCAGCUUGGAAUUAGAGCUUUCGGCUUAUUUACCUUUAUCGCUUAUCUAUCGCUUUUGCAUAGCCGAUUAGAUCUGUUUCAAGUGUUGUUUCUGUAGCGUUGUCUAGUUUUCUCUGGCAGUUUUCUUUACAAACGUUACCUAGUUGUCGGCUGUACCAUAACCAAUUUCCUUGUUAUAGCAAAUCGGCCGAUUCGCUGAUAAGCUUCCUCGAGAUCGGAACCUUAGCCGAUCGCAGCCUCUGGGAUCUGACACGUUUCCUUCCUUGCCAAUCAACAGGUCAGAUUGCCUGGCACGCCGCGCGAACUGCACCAGGGCGAUUACCCAAACAGGAGUUAAGCAGAUUCUCCCGGGUCGUGUGUCCGACGCUGAGAUUCAACCGGCUGAUUUUUAGCGCCAACAAUACUAUCCAUGAUUUUGUACCUUUAGUUGUGAGUUUUUAGAGAUUUAGAUUUACAAUGCUCUAAAGAGUUUGAAUCAAACAUUCAAGCAUCUUGGGAAUUACCAUGUUCUGGUGGUGUCAUACAUACAUCUAUGGACCCACCAGAAAGUUUGGACAAUCUUAAAUAUAGGAUUGGACACCAA